rnacentral:rRNA from 1 species
UACGGAGGGGGCAAGCGUUGUUCGGAAUUAUUGGGCGUAAAGAGCUCGUAGGCGGUCUGUCGCGUCUGCUGUGAAAAUCCAGGGCUCAACCCUGGACCUGCAGUGGGUACGGGCAGACUAGAGUGCGGUAGGGGAGAUCGGAAUUCCUGGUGUAGCGGUGAAAUGCGCAGAUAUCAGGAGGAACACCGGUGGCGAAGGCGGAUCUCUGGGCCGUAACUGACGCUGAGGAGCGAAAGCAUGGGGAGCGAACAGG